UGGGGAAUAUUGCACAAUGGGCGCAAGCCUGAUGCAGCCAUGCCGCGUGUAUGAAGAAGGCCUUCGGGUUGUAAAGUACUUUCAGCGGGGAGGAAGGGAGUAAAGUUAAUACCUUUGCUCAUUGACGUUACCCGCAGAAGAAGCACCGGCUAACUCCGUGCCAGCAGCCGCGGUAAUACGGAGGGUGCAAGCGUUAAUCGGAAUUACUGGGCGUAAAGCGCACGCAGGCGGUUUGUUAAGUCAGAUGUGAAAUCCCCGGGCUCAACCUGGGAACUGCAUCUGAUACUGGCAAGCUUGAGUCUCGUAGAGGGGGGUAGAAUUCCAGGUGUAGCGGUGAAAUGCGUAGAGAUCUGGAGGAAUACCGGUGGCGAAGGCGGCCCCCUGGACAAAGACUGACGCUCAGGUGCGAAAGCGUGGGGAGCAAACAGG
rnacentral:rRNA from 1 species